rnacentral:rRNA from 1 species
CCUACGGGAGGCAGCAGUGGGGAAUAUUGGACAAUGGGCGAAAGCCUGAUCCAGCCAUGCCGCGUGUGUGAAGAAGGCCUUCGGGUUGUAAAGCACUUUCAGUGGGGAAGAAAGCCUUGGGGCUAAUACCCUCGAGGAAGGACAUCACCCACAGAAGAAGCACCGGCUAACUCCGUGCCAGCAGCCGCGGUAAUACGGAGGGUGCGAGCGUUAAUCGGAAUUACUGGGCGUAAAGCGCGCGUAGGCGGUCUGAUAAGCCGGUUGUGAAAGCCCCGGGCUCAACCUGGGAACGGCAUCCGGAACUGUCAGGCUAGAGUGCAGGAGAGGAAGGUAGAAUUCCCGGUGUAGCGGUGAAAUGCGUAGAGAUCGGGAGGAAUACCAGUUGCGAAGGCGGCCUUCUGGACUGACACUGACGCUGAGGUGCGAAAGCGUGGGUAGCAAACAGGAUUAGAUACCCGAGUAGUC